rnacentral:tRNA from 1 species
GGCGCUGUAGCUCAGAUGGUAGAGCACUCGGCUGAAGCCCGAGGUCGCGUAGGUUCGAUCCCUGCCGGCGCCA